rnacentral:rRNA from 1 species
AAGUCGCGUGAAGGAUGAAGGUCUUAUGGAUUGUAAACUUCUUUUGCAAGGGAAUAAAGUGGGGGACGUGUCCUCCUUUGCAUGUACCUUGCGAAUAAGGAUCGGCUAACUCCGUGCCAGCAGCCGCGGUAAUACGGAGGAUCCGAGCGUUAUCCGGAUUUAUUGGGUUUAAAGGGUGCGCAGGCGGGAUGUUAAGUCGGCGGUGAAAUUUUGCAGCUCAACUGUAAAAGUGCCUUCGAUACUGGCUUUCUUGAGUGUGGAUGAAGUAGGCGGAAUUUGUGGUGUAGCGGUGAAAUGCUUAGAUAUCACGMGGAACUCCGAUUGCGCAGGCAGCUUACUAAACCACUACUGACGCUCAUGCACGAAGGCGUGGGGAUCAAACAGGAUUAGAUACCCUGGUAGUCCACGCAGUAAACGAUGAUCUACUAGUUGUUUGCGACGCCCGCCGCGCCCCGMGCCCGUAGCC